rnacentral:rRNA from 1 species
UACGUGAGGGUGCAAGCGUUAAUCGGAAUUACUGGGCGUAAAGCGUGCGCAGGCGGUGAUGUAAGACAGAUGUGAAAUCCCCGGGCUCAACCUGGGAACUGCAUUUGUGACUGCAUCGCUGGAGUGCGGCAGAGGGGGAUGGAAUUCCGCGUGUAGCAGUGAAAUGCGUAGAUAUGCGGAGGAACACCGAUGGCGAAGGCAAUCCCCGUGGGCCUGCACUGACGCUCAUGCACGAAAGGCGUGGGGAGCAAACACGG